GGCUGGUCCGAUGGUAGUGGGUUAUCAGAACUGAUUAACAUUAGUGUCACUAAAGUUGGUAUUCAACCCCCCACUGCUAAAUUUGACUGGCUUUAA
ensembl:misc_RNA Y_RNA Y RNA